rnacentral:lncRNA from 1 species
UAUGAAGGAGAAAGGAUACCGGUCAUAAUGGUCAAAUAUUGGUAAGAGCUGUUUCUGGUUGAGAUAACUUUUUUUUUCUUUUUUUCUUUUUGAGAUGCUGAUCUCAGGACCCACCACAGGAAAAGGACGUUCAAAAUGAAAUGUGAGGAGGAUCAAAGAAGAGUCAGAACAAAAUCAAAUCAUGUUUCAACUCUAUUAUAAAAGAGUAUUAGUAGAGCCCUCUGCAUUAAGAGGAGAAACGGGAUCUGCUCGGUGCACGAUUUACUUGGGACACAAAUUAGCGAAGAGACAGAAUUCUUGGGGUCUAGGUUUCAUGAUGUGGGGCCCACGGCCUGCUGCACUGCCUGCCACGGAUGUGGCAGUAACAACUGUCAGAGAAGCCGAAGAGAAUGGCUGGGCUUGAUCCUCUUUCAGGAAUCUGUUCUUUCUAUUAAUUUGGUUAAGAUCCCAUGUCCCUCCUCUAGGAUAAUCUCCUU